GGGCUCGCUCGGGAGGACGGGGCCGCGAUUUCUGUGGCCUUCGAGAGAGACACAGCUUGGGUGCUUAUGAACCAUACAUCAUUGUCAAGCGAGAAGAUUAAACUUAUUGUUUCUUUCUUGAACCGGCAACUCAAGUGGCUCUGAUUUCGGGAAAUUUCCACCUCCCCUUUCCUGCAGGUAUGUGAGCCCGAGAUAGAUGACUCAGAACCGAGACUCCUGCGGGCAGUGGGGCUUGCUGUCGGGGGAGGCACAGGUCCCCUAAUCAAAGCUGCCUGCCCGGAGCGGCGAAGCGGCUUCUGCAAACUCAAGCGUGCACAGACGCCGCGCCUGGCUCUCGGAGUUCGGAUCCCGGUGUCCCUUUGAUCCCUCCGUCCUCAAGACUAACAGCCACCAAGGUGCGUCCUUGCACCAGACUCGGAUGGAUUUCAUUUUUCCGCGAGCACUCGGGCAGGCCCUCGGAGGUGACCCCUUGCGGAUCUAAGCGGCAGAGUUUCAGGCGUGGCCGGGGACAAACGCUCCGAGAACGCGGGCCCAUGUGUUUCAUCAGAACCCGCCGCGGUUGGGCUGGGGGGAGUCAGACAUGCUGCCUAAUGAGCGGAGAUCAGCCCGCGCGGGGAGACCUCUGAUGUGCAACACCAGGCGCCCGCAAACCAGGCCCCCGCCCCGCCCGCUCCCCUGAACGUAGACAAAUAAACCCGGCGGGCACCCGGCUCAAAGGCAGCUCGGUGGCCACCGCGCCUGGCAGUGAACGGUCAUCGCCGCCCCCGGGCUCUUUGAAGCUGUUUAAAUUCUUCGGAACACAGCCGUCUCCUGUGCCCCCCACAAGCCCCAACCCCGAGCGAGGACAAUCAAAGUCCAGCGGGCUGGAAAAACAGCACAGGGCAGAAGCUAGGCGCGGGCUAAACGGCGGCACAGGAAGCUUUUCCUCCUUGUAUGUUGCUGUUCCUGGUGAUCAGAGUUCUGGGUUUGGCGCUAAUUAAGAAAAGCCAGUGGGGACUCCCUCCCCGGCCUUAUGGCAUGGAACGCGGCCUCGGAGGAGGAUGGGCCCGAAAUCGCCCCAAGAUUUAAAUAAUUAAUAUGACACCUUGAGCUCCAAAUGGGGGAAAAGUAAAGAAAAAACAGGGAGGCCAGUGUUGGCGGUUUCAACAAUGCCCGGGCCAGUUUGAUGCCAUUUGUUCUGGGGCUGGGGGGUUGGGGGGAUGACGGCUCGGCUCUUUGUCAUGCUAAGGGAUCCCUUUGUGGGCCCCGGGGUCCCCGGCCCCCCUCCGAAGGAGGCUCGGAGGAGAGGGAGUGUGCAUCCCCAAGCUGGAGGAUGGUCAUUUAAUGGUGUUUAAUCCUCUUAAUCCGGGCGAUCGGCCGGCUGCAAAGAUGGUCCCAGAAGCCCCACAGAGCCAGCGCCUGGCAGGGCAGAGCGGGCUGGGAGGGGGACCCAGAGACGCUCCAGGAGCGUCCUGUUUGCCACAUGGCCUUGUGCUCAGUUCCUCUGCCCUGUGCCCGGAGCCGUCUGACCACAGGCGAGUAGGAUGCAGUUGAAAUCAGCUGCAAAUCCCAUGCCCU